CUAGUACUCCCUCCGUCCGGAAAUACUUGUCAUCAAAAUGGAUAAAAGAGGAUGUAUCUAGAUGUAUUUUAGUUCUAGAUACAUCUCUUUUUAUCCAUUUUGAUGACAAGUAUUUUCGGACCGAGGGAGUAAUAA
rnacentral:pre_miRNA from 1 species